rnacentral:tRNA from 2 species
GCAUUAAUAAUUUAAAUAAAAUAUUAGUCUUGUAAACUAACUUUAAGAAAAACUUUCUUUUAAUGCU